ACAUCAUUACCGAUACAAUAAUCAUGAGUGUACCAAAUCUGUGCAUGUCAUCACCAGUAUUCUGUCAAUGAAAUCUUAGGCAACAUAAACAUAUAUGUGUCCAUAUUCUACAACUGUAUAUUUUACAAGGAUAAAUACUUCCCGGGUAUCCAACCAAUAUCAUAACACAAUCCUCGAUCCAAUAAUAUAUUAGAAUAAUUAAGACAUCAUAAUCACGACCUUAGGCCCAUAUAAAUAUUUGAAACUCAUAUAGAUAAUCAUAUUAAUAAGUCGUAGC
rnacentral:lncRNA from 1 species